CCUACGGGUGGCAGCAGUGAGGAAUAUUGGUCAAUGGGCGCGAGCCUGAACCAGCCAAGUAGCGUGAAGGAUGACUGCCCUACGGGUUGUAAACUUCUUUUAUAAAGGAAUAAAGUGAGGCACGUUUGCCUUUUUGUAUGUACUUUAUGAAUAAGAAUCGGCUAACUCCGUGCCAGCAGCCGCGGUAAUACGGAGGAUCCGAGCGUUAUCCGGAUUUAUUGGGUUUAAAGGGAGCGUAGAUGGGUUGUUAAGUCAGUUGUGAAAGUUUGCGGCUCAACCGUAAAAUUGCAAUUGAUACUGGAAGUCUUGAGUACAGUUGAGGUAGGCGGAAUGCGUGGUGUAGCGGUGAAAUGCAUAGAUAUCACGCAGAACUCCGAUUGCGAAGGCAGCUUACUAAACUAUAACUGACACUGAAGCACGAAAGCGUGGGGAUCAAACAGGAUUAGAUACCCGAGUAGUC
rnacentral:rRNA from 1 species